rnacentral:rRNA from 1 species
UACGUAGGGUGCAAGCGUUGUCCGGAAUUAUUGGGCGUAAAGCGCUCGUAGGCGGUCUGUCGCGUCUGCUGUGAAAACUCAGGGCUUAACCCUGAGCUUGCAGUGGGUACGGGCAGACUAGAGUGCGGUAGGGGAGACUGGAAUUCCUGGUGUAGCGGUGAAAUGCGCAGAUAUCAGGAGGAACACCGGUGGCGAAGGCGGGUCUCUGGGCCGUAACUGGCGCUGAGGAGCGAAAGCAUGGGGAGCGAACAGG